ensembl:lncRNA
CUAUGGGUCUCUGUGGGUCCCUAUGGGUCUCUGUGGGUCGCUAUGGGUCGCACUGUGUCGGUGUGUGUCCCUAUGUGUCUCUAUGUGUCUCAGUGUGUCCCUAUGGGUCCCUAUGUGUCCCUAUGGGUCCCUAUGUGUCCCUAUGUGUCUCCAUGGCAUCCCUAUGUGUCUGCAUGGCAUCCCUAUGUGUCCCUAUGUGUCCCUACGUGUCUCCAUGGGGUCCCUAUGUGUCUCCAUGGGGUCCCUAUGGGUCGCUAUGGGUCGCUAUGGGUCGCAAUGUGUCGCUAUGGGUCGCAGUGUGUCGGUGCGUCCCCCCGGUGGCGGUGUGUCCCUAUGUGUCCCUAUGUGUCUCUAUGUGUCUCAGUGUGUCCCUAUGGGUCCCUAUGUGUCUCUAUGUGUCCCUAUGGGUCCCUUUGUGUCCCUAUGUGUCCCUACGUGUCUCCAUGGGGUCGCUAUGGGUCGCUAUGGGUCGCAAUGUGUCGGUAUUUGUCCCCCUGGUGGCUGUGUGUCUCUAUGUGUCCCUAUGUGUCCCUAUGGGUCCCUACGUGUCCCUGUGUGUCUCUAUGUGUCCCUAUGUGUCUCCAUGGCAUCCCUAUGGGUCCCUAUGUGUCGCUAUGGGUCCCUAUGUGUCCCUAUGGGUCUCUGUGGGUCGCUAUGGGUCCCUAUGGGUCCCUAUGUGUCUCUAUGUGUCUCUGUGCGUCUCUAUGGGUCCCUAUGUGUCUCUAUGGUUCUCUGUGUGUCUCUAUGUGUCCCUAUGUGUCCCUAUGUGUCUCCAUGGCAUCCCUAUGUGUCUCCAUGGCAUCCCUAUGUGUCUCCAUGGGGUCGCUAUGGGUCGCUAUGGGUCGCAAUGUGUCGCUAUGGGUCGCAGUGUGUCGGCGCGUCCCCCCGGUGGCGGUGUGCGGCAGUGCGCGGGGCUCACCCUGGUGGCGCGGCGGCGCUGUGUGCGCGCGGAGCAGAGCUGCUGCUGCCCUUUGAGCACCGCCGUCCCGGACUGCAGCACCUGCAGCUCUAUGCGGUUCACCGCCUCGCCCUGAAACAGCGCCACAGGCACUGCACUCCCAUUCCCACCAGUACGGACCAGUAUAAACCAGUAUACACCACUAUAAACCAGUAUGGACCAGUAUUCACCAGUACCGUCCAGUAUAGACCAGUAUACAGCAGUAUAAACCAGUAUGGACCAAUAUAAACCAGUAUACAGCAGUAUAAACCAGUAUGGACCAGUAUACACCAGUAUACACCAGUAUACACCAGUAUGAACCAGUAUGGACCAGUAUGCACCAGUAUACACCAGUAUGGACCUGUAUGCACCAGUAUACACCAGUAUACACCAGUAUGCACCAGUAUGCACCAGUAUACACCAGUAUACACCAGUAUGGACCAGUAUGCACCAGUAUACACCAGUAUACACCAGUAUAAACCAGUAUGGACCAGUAUACACCAGUAUACACCAGUUCCGACCAGUAUUCACCAGUAUACACCAGUAUACACCAGUUCCGACCAGUAUUCACCAGUAUACACCAGUAUACACCAGUAUAAACCAGUAUGGACCAGUAGGCACCAGUAUACACCAGUACCGACCAGUAUACACCAGUAUACACCAGUAUAAACCAGUAUAAACCAGUAUAAACCACUACCGACCAGUAUAAACCAGUACUGACCAGUAUAAACCAGUAUACACCAGUAUAAACCAGUACUGACCAGUAUAAACCAGUAUACACCAGUAUGAACCAGUACCGACCAGUAUAAACCAGUAUAAACCACUACCGACCACUAUACACCAGUGUUCACCAGUAUACACCAGUAAACACCGUUCCGACCAGUAUACACCAGUAUAAACCACUACCGACCAGUAUAGACCAGUAUACAGCAGUAUAAACCAGUAUGGACCAGUAUAAACCAGUAUAGACCGGUAUAAACCAGUAUGGACCAGUAUACACCAGUACUGAACACUAUACACCAGUAUAAACCAGUACCGACCAGUAUACACCAGUAUAAACCAGUAUGGACCAGUAUAAACCAGUAUACACCAGUAUAAACCAGUACUGACCAGUAUAAACCAGUAUAAACCAGUACCAACUAGUAUGGGUCAGUAUAAACCAGUAUGCACCAGUAUACACCACUAUAAACCAGUAGGGACCAGUAUAAACCAGUAUACACCAGUAUACACCAGUACUGACCAGUAGGCACCAGUAUACACCAGUACCGACCAGUAUACACCAGUAUACACCAGUAUACACCAGUAUAAACCAGUAUGGACCAAUAUACACCAGUAUACACCAGUACCGACCAGUAUACACCAGUAUACACCAGUAUACACCAGUAUAAACCAGUAUGGACCAGUAUGCACCAGUAUACACCAGUAUACACCAGUUCCGACCAGUAUACACCAGUAUACACCAGUAUACACCAGUAUACACCAGUAUAAACCAGCAUGGACCAGUAUACACCAGUAUACACCAGUUCCGACCAGUAUUCACCAGUAUACACCAGUAUACACCAGUACCGACCAGUAUACACCAGUAUACACCAGUAUACAGCAGUAUACACCAGUAUAAACCAGUAUGGACCAGUAUACACCAUAAUACACCAGUACUGACCAGUAUACACCAGUAUACACCAGUAUACACCAGUAUAAACCAGUAUGCACCAGUAUACACCAGCAUACACCAGUUCCGACCAGUAUUCACCAGUAUACACCAGUAUACACCACUAUAAACCAGUAUGGACCAGUAUACACCAGUAUACACCAGUAUAAACCACUAUGGACCAGUAUAAACCAGUAUAGACCAGUAUAAACCAGUACUGACCAGUAUACACCAGUAUGCACCAGUACAGACCAGUACGGAUCAGUAUGCACCAGUAUGGACCAGUAUGGGCCAGUACGGACCAGUAUAAACCAGUAUGGACCAGUAUGCACCAGUACGGACCAGUAUGGAACUGUACAGACCAGCAGAGACCACUCCCUCCCAGUCCCUCCCAGUAUAUCCCAGUUCCCUCCCAGUUCCAUCCCAGUAUAUCCAGUCCUUCCCACUCCCUCCCAGUCCAUCCCAGUCCCUCCCAGUAUAUCCCAGUCCCUCCCAUUCCCUCCCAGUCCCCUCCCAGCUCCCUCCCAGUCCCUCCCAGUCCAUCCCAGUUCCCUCCCAGUCCCUUCCAGUUUCCUCCCACUCCCUCCCAGUCCAUCCCAGUAUAUCCCAGUCCCCACCACUCCCUCUCAUUCCUUCCCAUUCCCUCCCAGUAUAUCCCAGUUCCCUCCCACUCCCUCCCAGUCUCUCCCAGUCCCUCCCAGUUCCCUCCCAGUAUAUCCCAGUCCCCACCACUCCCUCCCAUUCCCCCCCAUUCCCUCCCAGUUCCCUCCCAGCCCCCCCACUCCCUCCCAGUCUCUCCCAGUCCAUCCCAGUCCCCUCCCAGUGCCCCCCACUCCCUCCCACUCCCUCCCAGUAUAUCCCAGUCCAUCCCAUUCCCUCCCAGCAUAUCCCACUCCCCCCCACUCCCCUCUACUCCCUCCCAGUUCCCUCCCAGUCCAUCCCAGUAUAUCCCACUCCCUCCCACUCCCUCCCAGUUCUCCCAGUCCAUCCCAGUGCCCCCCCUUCCCUCCCAGUCCCUCCCAGUUCCUCCCACUCCCUCCCAGUCCAUCCCAGUUUCCUCCCAGUCCAUCCCAGUCCCCCCUUCCCUCCCACUCCCCCCCAUUCCCUCCCAGUCCAUCCCAGUUCCCUCCCAUUCCCUCCCAGUAUAUCCCAGUCCCUCCCAGUCCCAUCC